AACGAACGCUGGCGGCGCGCUUAACACAUGCAAGUCGAACGCAUGCUUGAUCUUCGGGUUGGGCAUGAGUGGCGGACGGGUGAGUAACGCGUGGGAACCUGCCCUGAGGUUCGGGACAACCGUGGGAAACUGCGGCUAAUACCGGAUAUCUCCUUUGGGAGAAAGACUUGUCGCCUUGGGAGGGGCCCGCGUCGGAUUAGCUUGUUGGUGGGGUAACGGCCUACCAAGGCGACGAUCCGUAGCUGGUCUGAGAGGAUGAUCAGCCACACUGGGACUGAGACACGGCCCAGACUCCUACGGGAGGCAGCAGUGGGGAAUAUUGGACAAUGGGCGAAAGCCUGAUCCAGCAAUGCCGCGUGUGUGAAGAAGGCCUGCGGGUUGUAAAGCACUUUCAGUAGGGAAGAUUAUGACGGUACCUACAGAAGAAGCACCGGCUAACUCCGUGCCAGCAGCCGCGUAAAGUGACU
rnacentral:rRNA from 1 species